rnacentral:lncRNA from 1 species
CCUCUGAAGAACAAGAAUAGGCAUGCUCAGUUCAUAUUCAUUUAUGUAAAGGAAGUUCCAGAAGACUCUUCCUCCAGACUAGUAAUGACAAGGUAACACAAAUAACGUUAAAUAGGCCAAAAGAAACUACUUGUGCUCUUGGUAGGUCACCUUGUGGCACACAACAUGUAAUAUCCCAAAUCUCCUAAGGGUAUUUAAGUCUUUUUAAUUUUUAGUGAUCAUUUUUACCCUAGUAUAAAUAGAAUAAGAUGUCUUUUUCAUUAUAAGAGAGAGAGAGAGAAAAGAGAAAAGAAAAGAAAAAGAGAAGAAGAAAGUCUUCUUCUUCUUAUUAGUUCUGUCAUAGGCAACACAUGAGAUCAAGGUGUUAUUGUUGGGAGAAGUUUUGGAGGUAAGUUUUAAUCUUGGUUUUUAUUAAAUUGUUGUGGAGAAGCAUGAUUGCAAUAGAAGUAGAAACCUACGAUUUUACAGAAAUAUGCUGACAGUGAAUUAUUACGAAAAUCAUAAUACUUUGUAUAAAUUGAUUUUGAUUCUGAUUUUUGGGUAUGUUAGACUAGACAUCGUCUAGAACGUUUUGAAACUUGUUUCAAGUUAAUCGGAUAAUAUUUCAAUUAAUUAUAAUUUUUCAAAUUCAAGUCUGAAAAUCUGGAAAUUUAUGAUUUUAGUGAAUAACGUGAAUUACGAAAUUAUUUUUACCAUAGUUAGACUUCUUAAAAAAUUAUGAAAUUUGGACCAAUGAUUUUUAUAUAUGUCUAGUAUGAUUCUGGAAAUUUUCAUGAUUUUAUGAUAAAGCAAUAAAUUGUUUUGUAUUUGUAAAGCAAGUGUGUUCAAAACAGAAAACUGUUUGACAAUAUUGAUGAUGUCUGAAACGUGAAUUAUUUUCAAUAGUUUUUGAAGGAAUUAUGUUAUGAAAUUUUUAUCAAUGAACUUUCAAUGUGUCAGCAUAUGGUUUGUAAAAUUUGAAAUUCUUCCAAUAAGAGAAUAGUUUAUUAAAAAUCGAAGAAGUAUGGACUGUUAUGUUUUAAGGGCUGAUUAUUGAGAACAUUUGAGGUUUGGCUUUUGAGUUGUUUACAUUGAAAUAUUUGAGGACAUUAGAGUUUAUGAUUGAGAUUUGAUUAUAUCUUAUGAGGCGUUAUUGGUGAUUUUAGGUUGAUGGUAUCAGUACGCAUUUGUUACAUGAGGAUGCCAAGAGGUAAGUAAACUAAACUUUAAAACGAAUCACACUAAAUAAUAUAUAUGUUUGACUUGUGUGAAAAACCUAUUUUGAUAUGUACAAAUAUGAAUUUAUAUGUGUCUGCUCAUGUGUUUAUGUGAUGUGUUGUUAUGUAAUGGGCGUAUGUAUGUACAUGGGCAUAUGUAUGUGUGAUGGUUCAUUCGCAUGAACACGAAAAUGCAUUGAUUUUUCUAUGAAUGAGCAAGUGAAUUUUAGCAAACGAAAUUUCUGUUUUAUGAGAUUUUGCAUUGGGGGCCACCUCUUGAAGUUGUGUGGGGGCCACCUCUUGAGGGCCAGAGGGCCAGAGCGCCGCAAAGUGCCACGCAUGGUGCAAAGUGCCACGCACAGCACAAAGUGCCACAUUGCAGGAUACGUAUUUCAUCGAAAGAAAAUGAGAAAGUUUGAAAGCGACAAAAAGAGAUUUUUAUGAAUUUAUUUUACAGUAUUUCCAAAAGAUCAUGACAUAUCAUCCAUUGCAUUAUGUAUAAGUAUGUAUGUAUUUUCCAUAUAAAAAAAACUAGUUUGCUUACUGGGUUUUGUACUCAUUAUAGUUUAUUGUGAUUCAGUUUCCAGAAAUCAGGAUUGAUUCGUGAUGAGUGAGAAGAUGGAUUUGAAUUGAGGAUAGUAGAUGGUUUGGUUAAGUUUUUAAGUUAUUCCGCUGGCUUUUGUAUUUGAGGCUUGAAUUUUAUCGAUUGUAAAGAGUUAUUUAAAUUCAUAUGUGAGUUGUGGACAUAUUUGCCCUUAGAUUUCGGAUUGGGGUGUUACACAACAUAUCUCAUUUUCUUGGGUGAAGCAAGCACAUCCAUCCACUAGAAUUUAAUUGUAUCAUUUACUCAAAGGAAGUGACUUCUUUUUGCAUAAAAAAUUUCUCUUCAAAGUGCAAAACUACAAUGUCAUCCGCCACAAAGUUUCGAACAC